rnacentral:hammerhead_ribozyme from 1 species
AUCCAUCUGAUGAGUCCCAAAUAGGACGAAACGCGCGUUCUGGAU